rnacentral:rRNA from 1 species
CCUACGGGGGGCAGCAGUGAGGAAUAUUGGGCAAUGGAGGCAACUCUGACCCAGCAACGCCGCGUGAAUGAUGAAGGUCUUCGGAUUGUAAAGUUCUGUGAUGGGGGAUGAACACAAUGACGGUACCCCAAUAGCAAGCCACGGCUAACUACGUGCCAGCAGCCGCGGUAAUACGUAGGUGGCAAGCGUUAUCCGGAAUGACUGGGCGGAAAGGGUGCGUAGGUGGUUUAGUAAGUUGGCGGUGUAAUUCCGGGGCUCAACCUCGGCGCUACCGCCAAAACUAUUGAACUUGAGUGCAGGAGGGGUGAAUGGAAUGCCCAGUGUAGCGGUGGAAUGCGUAGAUAUUGGGAAGAACACCAGCGGCGAAGGCGAUUCACUGGACUGUAACUGACACUGAGGCACGAAAGCGUGGGGAGCAAACAGGAUUAGAUACCCCAGUAGUC